GGUUGAAUUCAAGAACGAAUUCAAAUGAGGCUCUCUAAUUGGUUAAAUCAGUGCAAGUUAUUUAUGGAAACCACUUUUUAAAAAUAAAUGUUGAUAGGAUUUAUGAAUCAUUAACACCGAUAACUUUAGUUGUUGAACCAUUGUAUUGACAUAAGUACGUAUUUUCCAUCAGUGUAUAACUAUUCAUUCCUAACGCAGUCUCGAUAUGGCUUCCCUUACUGACGAACAACAAUGGGAGGAAUUUAAGAAAAAACAUAAUAAAUCGUAUGGUGCAGAAGAAGAACAAACUCGUUUUAAAAUAUUCCAAGAGUCGUUAAAAAAGGUAGCAGAACACAAUGCAAAAUAUGAAAAAGGAGAGGUGACUUUCUCCAUGGCCAUAAAUCAUAUGUCCGAUUUAACUACUGAAGAAAUGAAACAGCGGUGUGGCUUUAGACCAAGCUCUCAAUAAACUCCAGUUUACUAUUAAUUAUAAACUCGAAGACGAAUCAAGUCAAAUUACAUUAUACAAAAUAUUGUAUAUAAAUAUUAGCCAUGGCAUUUGUUAGAACAGCUAAUACGUUUAAAACAUAUAAAUUGUGUAAAAUGCACAUAAACUUUCAAAUUAUGCUUGUGUAAUAUAUUAAAUAACAUUUAUAUUUUUAUCAAUAAUAUAUGUAUUAACUUUUA